GUUUCUUCCUACGGUGGCGAGUUGCCACCUUCGGGGAUCAAUAUUCAUUAGGGCGUGCGACUAGCUUUCUCUGCUCCCAACGGCUGUUCACGGUUCUCUGUACUCAUCGAUUAAUAGUUGGAAGGUUUGAUUGACCGAUCGCCUCGCAAACAGGGUGUAGUUAAUCGUGAUGGGAUUUGCGUGCAUCGGCCGCCUCUGAUCUGUCUUGUAUUCGUGAAAUGCUUGCGUUUGAAAUGUUGAAAAUUGAGAUUAUCGAAGGAAGAAUUGGGAUUGUAUCGUCGAUUGGAAGAAUGAUGAAGAGUGUGAAUUUUUAAAAGAAGCAAGGAAAGAAGUGUUGUUUGUAAUUGCAAUAGAAUGUCCGAAUUUUUGUUAUGAUCAUCCGAAUAUAAGAUCAUACAUUAAAUAAACAACGAUGAUUGCGAUUUGCACAGAGGAUAAUACCAAUGAUAAUCGUUUUAUGACGCGAUUGUAAAGACUCCAACUGAAUCUACUAUCUGGGUCAACCAAUAAAGAAAUAAAUAUGAACGAUAAAAGCUCAUGUGUAUUCCAUCGAUCGGAAAAUUUUUAGUCGAAAGAGGUGGAUAGAACUUCUCUCUUUUGUAUCUGUUCGAUAUACGAGAUGAAAAGUAAAUAAUAGAAGUAAGAAGGGAACAAUAUUAUUCUUGAUCCAUGACAACGUGUAUUCUAUACUCUUUGAUAUCGUUUUCUUUAUCGCAAUUUUUGUAAGAGUUUAUCUAACUAAAAGCAUUAGUUUUUACUUUGACAAGGAAGAAUUUCUCGAAUAUUGACAUGAUGUAUUAAAAUAUUAUUUUAUAUGAUAAAGAUAAGAAAUAAAUUAAAAAAUUAAAAUUAUCUAAACGAAUAUAUUUAUAUUAUCGUUCUAUGAGUGUAUUAAAAAAUAUAAUAUAAAGAUUAAAAAUAACAGAAUAAA